CGCAGAGGCAAAAUCGAACCGCUGUGCAGCAGCAGAGGAACCUGUGUGGAGGGAAUCUGUGAGUGCAACAAGCGACCAAACCCAGCAGAGAGAUACAGCGGAGCUUUCUGCGAGUGCAGCAACUUUGACUGUCCAUACCACAACAACAGCAUCUGUGGAGGCAACGGCAGGUGUGAGUGUGGAACGUGCAUCUGUGAUCCUCACUGGGCCGGUGAAUCCUGCGAAUGCACCGUGGACACUACUUCCUGUUUGGCAAAAAACCAGCAAGUGUGUAACGGACGAGGGUUCUGUGAGUGUGGAACAUGUCGAUGCACCGAUCCGAAGUUUUCAGGGCCGACCUGCGAGGAAUGUCCUUUCUGCCCGGGCAGGUGUAUGGAGCUCGAGAACUGUGUGCAGUGCUGGGUGUCUGGAUUGGGACCCAGCAGGUGUGCCAGUGAAUGUGGACGAUACAACGUGACAAUGGU